ACGGGGGCCCGCACAAGCGGCGAGCAUGUGGAUUAAUUCGAUGCAACGCGAAGAACCUUACCUGGGCUUGACAUACACCAGAUCGGCGCAGAGAUGCGUUUUUCCCUUGUGGUUGGUGUACAGGUGGUGCAUGGUUGUCGUCAGCUCGUGUCGUGAGAUGUUGGGUUAAGUCCCGCAACGAGCGCAACCCUUGUCUUAUGUUGCCAGCACGUGAUGGUGGGGACUCAUGAGAGACUGCCGGGGUUAACUCGGAGGAAGGUGGGGAUGACGUCAAAUCAUCAUGCCCCUUAUGUCCAGGGCUUCACACAUGCUACAAUGGUCGGUACAACGCGUGUGCGACACUGUGAGGUGAAGCUAAUCGCUCUAAAGCCGGUCGUAGUUCGGAUUGGGGUCUGCAACUCGACCCCAUGAAGUCGGAGUCGCUAGUAAUCGCAGAUCAGCAACGCUGCGGUGAAUACGUUCCCGGGCCUU
rnacentral:rRNA from 1 species